rnacentral:rRNA from 1 species
AGAGUUUGAUCCUGGCUCAGAGCGAACGCUGGCGGCAGGCUUAACACAUGCAAGUCGAGCGGGCCCUUCGGGGUCAGCGGCGGACGGGUGAGUAACGCGUGGGAACGUGCCUUCUGGUUCGGAAUAACCCUGGGAAACUAGGGCUAAUACCGGAUACGCCCUUUUGGGGAAAGGUUUACUGCCGGAAGAUCGGCCCGCGUCUGAUUAGCUAGUUGGUGGGGUAACGGCCUACCAAGGCGACGAUCAGUAGCUGGUCUGAGAGGAUGAUCAGCCACACUGGGACUGAGACACGGCCCAGACUCCUACGGGAGGCAGCAGUGGGGAAUAUUGGACAAUGGGCGCAAGCCUGAUCCAGCCAUGCCGCGUGAGUGAUGAAGGCCUUAGGGUUGUAAAGCUCUUUUAUCCGGGACGAUAAUGACGGACCGGAGAAUA